rnacentral:lncRNA from 1 species
CUUCCUUGAGCUCUCUCCUCCAGCCUUCUAAUUCUUGGAGGAAGUCCACACACAUAGUCUUGAGCUUGACGCCCAUCCGCUGAAAGUCCAGUUAGUUCCUUCACCUUCCAUCUCUCCACUAGGAACUCCAGAAUAUCAGCAUAGUCCUUGGCAGUGUAAACCCCAAUUCUUUGUGCAACAGCUGAGAAGUGGUCGAAAAGGUUGUCAUCUCGGCCAUCAUACAUCAAGUGGCCUGGCAUGGAGAUUUUCUUCCUCAUCAUGUCAGCGAAGGCCAGCAAAGUACCGUCAGGAUCAAUCUCAAAGAGCUUUUCGACAACUUUAGUAUAGGCUGUCCCGUGGCGCUUUUCAUCUGAGGCAAUGCUACCACAUAUUUGAGCCAAGUUAAUGUCCCCGUGUUUCUUAGCAAGCCUGGCUGAAUUCCCAUGGGAAAUAAAGGUUGCCCUUUCUUGGAAUGAUGUGUAGAUGAGUCCCAGAUAUGGGUUUUUCUCUGUGCCGGGAUCCUGUAAAUGGACAGAAGAAGAGAAUUUAAAAAGAUUGAUCAAGAAGGGAAAGAAAGCUCUGUUUCAACACUGGACCGACUGUAACACACGAGGAAUAACCUAAUUAGGGGCACUUUCUACACAAAUUAAUUAGUGAGAUUUAACAAGUGAUGUGGAGCAAUGCUAAUAUCCAUGCACUUUCACAAGGUGAAACUGCAGAUUAGAAAAUUAAAAGAAAUAUAAAGGCAUGUGUAGUGUGCAUGGGUUUUCUCAGCCCCUUCACACUCAAAAGAAAACACCACCAAAAGACUAAAGAAAAAAAUAACUUUAUACAUUGUGUCCUGCGGACCCCAAUAUGCAGUCCUUCAAAGAACUGCAAAGGAUUCAAAAAACUUGUGCAUGUCAAGUGCAUCUGAGUAAAGCAUCUUACCAUUCCUGAUCCAAUCAAAUACUGGAUUGUCUUCUCAAUUUGCCUCAUGUCUACUCUUCCAGACAAGUGGAGAUACUUAUUAAGUAGAUCACCAUGCCUGUUUUCUUCAGCUGUCCAUGCCCUCGUCCAAAUUGCCCAAGGGGUAAGGCUACCACCUGUUUCAUCACGAAUUUCCUCUGCGCUAUUAAGCAUUUGUUGGUAAGUUGGAAGGGCUUCCUCUGUGAUCAUAUCACCAAUCAAAACAACGAAGUAAUCGUCUGGAAUCUCCUUUGCCCUUUCCCUUAGUUCUUUGACUUGCUCACCAAAUCCAUCAGAGGUAGGAUCUGGAAGAAAAUCCUGUGGUUGCCAACAUUUCUCAACUGGUUUGAGGUAAAUUAGAAAGUUCUUCUCAGCCCAGUCCUCCAAAGAUUUAAAGAUCUCAAUCUUUUGCUGUGGCAUGGAGUGGGUGACUUGAGCGUGCACCUCCCGAGGAGGCACGAAAUGCCUUUUGAGAGUCUCGUCCUCCCUGCAUUAAGUAAACGAAUAUGGGAUUACAUUCUCACGGUUCAGAUCUGUCCGUAAGGACUAAAAGGCAACAAUAAAUACCAUAAGCACAAAUCCUAUCUAACAAAUUUGUGUUACUUAAUUCAUGUUCCAGAAUAUCCAGUACAUGGGAUAUGCAAUAACAGUGUAAUGAAACAGCUUCCUAUAUAUGUUGGCCCAAAAAAUAAAAAAUAGCUUUAUACAGUUUAAAUUCUGAAGUUUAGUUUAAAUCCAGUAGAUGGGAAAAGGCUUAGCUUGUCGUUGUGGUUGUCUGCAUCUCUGAACAUUACAUCUGUAGCUACCAACUAUUAAAAAUUCCUUCAACUAUAUUGCAAAACUAGUUGCAUGAAAUUACUUAAAAGAUGAAGGGGGAGAACUACGUUAACCAUCAGGCAGUAUGUCUAGAGAAUCUGCUCUACGUCCAUCAACUUGAAUAUUCUUUUCAAGACAUAGAUUCUAUUCAACCAUAUUGAAACAGAGUAGCAUGUAACAAAUGGGAAGACAAUAGGGCAAAGUUACAGUAAAGCGUCAGCUACCUUUAUGUACUUUGAUCAGAAAGCUGACCCGACAACAGAAAUAUCCUUUUGUGUACAGCAUUCACAGGAUUUGGAAUUAAAUUAAACAAAGUAAUAAAAACAUCACAACAUAUAUAUAGCAGCACAAUGACAGAGCUACUAGACAACGCAGCAUACCAAAAAUACAACAGAACACUAAACUGAAACAGAAUGUUGCAAACCAUGCUGACCCAGAAUUUGAUUCUGCAAAGUUGCCUUAAGCUGAGCAUUGCAAAGUCUAAGAUGACUAAUAGUUUUAUUCCCCUUUGAUUAAAUGGUUAGGUCUAGUUUCAUAUACAGGUUAGAGAUUUGAUCCAAUGUAUCAAUCAAUCUCAACCCUCCUCAGUCUGUUGAAAACACUAGCCCCUUAUGCUAGUCUACUCUGCUUGCCGUCCUGAAUACUAACUUAGUAACUCUACUUUCUGCAUUUGCUCGGUUUCUGUAAAGAGUCCACCUGGUUUGAUUAAAAAUUACUUGAACAGUGUUGUUUAGGUCUAAACAAUCUUGGUCUCAAAGGUUUUCACAAAAUGCAUAACUUCAACAUUUCAAAGAUUAUUCAAAAACUCUGCAUAACAAACCAAAUUAAUGUACAAUAAUUUAUAACAAUAGUAGAGAGCAUAAUGUAUAACUAAGUCAUUCCCCUUAUUCUUAGGUCUCCCUUUUUACCUAUUUUGGUUUAUUUUUUAAUUAAGGAAUAGCCAUGGAAUAACUAACCCCAACCCCUUUGGUAUUUUAACUAUUCCAAGCUUCAUGAAAUAAAACUCAAAUAGACAUAGUUAUGAACAAAAGAAAAAAACCAUGCUUACUAUGUGAAAUUACUAACCCUAUCGUAUAAAAUAUUAUAUUAAUAUUUUAAUAAUAAAUUAUUAAAUUAAUAUUAUUUUUAAUGAAAUUUUAAUAAAAAGGAAUUAAAAGAGAAAAAAAGAUAAAAAAUGAAAUAAGAGGAAAAUAAAAAGAAAUUAAAUAAAAAUCAUAUCAAUAUUUUAUUAAUAAAAUAUUAACAUUUUAAUAAUAAAUUACUAAAUCAAAUAUAUUUUUAACAUUGUUCUAAAAAAUUGAAAGAGAAAAAAGGAAAAUGAUAGAUAGAAAAGAAAAAGAAAUUAACAUAAAAUAUCAUAUUGAUAUUUUAACAAUAAAUUAUUAAAAAUAAAUUAAAAGAGAAAAAAAUGAAAAAUGAAAAUAGAGAAAAAUAAAAAAUUAUUAAUAUUUUAAUAAAUAAGAAAUUAAAAGUGAAAAACUGAAAAAAUCAAAAUAGAGAAAAAAUAAAUAUUAAUAUUUAAAAAGUCAAUUAUUAAUAUUUUAACAAUAACAUAUUAAAUUAUUAUUUAACAAUUACAUUGCCAAAAAUUAAUAAGUUUUAAAUAUCUUAAUAUUUUUAUUAAAUUAUAAUAAAAAAUAUUUUUAUCAUUUUAUUACUUAUUCCUUUAUUAUUUCAAAACUAUUUUUACCAUGAUUUAACAUGAAAAUAAUGAAUUUAAAAAAAGAAAAGAAAAGAAGAAGCACUUACUUGGAGGUGGAAGGAAGUCAAGUUCUCUUUGUGAAGUUGCUUUGGGUUUAGGCACCUUCACUUUUACAUGCAGAAAUCUUAUACUUAAUGUAAUACCUUUUUUGAACAAAUUUGAUGAGUAGUGUCUUCAAUGAAAAAUAAAAACAAUUUUUAAAAGAAUGUUUAGAUUAAUCAUAACUAAUGCAUAUAAUUAAAUACUAACUGUUAACUGAAUUAUUCUUUUAAAUAUAGUCAGUUUCUAGAACUUGAGAUUUCACUAUUUUUUUGUUUUACAUUUAAAAUUUAUUAAGAAUUUGUAUACACACACAAAAAAAUAGUCAUGUAUCGUACCAUAAAUUUCAUUUAUUUUUUUCUUUCAAAAUGCAAAAAUAGAAAGUUGGCUCACCUAUUUAAAACAACUUAUCAAAUUAAUAGUUCUAGUUUUGUUAGUGGUGACACAUCAAAUCCUAAGCUGUCAACUUUUAUGAAAUCAAUUUAAACACAUGCACAUGUCGUCAAGGAUUCGAGAUUUUGUAAUUAUAACAUGUGAGCAUUUAAGUUUAAAGCUAAGUAUAGGUACUUAAUCUUUUAUUCAAAAAUCAAAAAAGCUUUUAUAAUUAUAUGCUAAAAAAAUAAUUUGUUAAGUAUAAUAUUACUUCAAGAAAAAUAUUGUGAUACCUUGAGGCCCUUUUAUCAUUUGAAAAAGAUAACAGUGUUAAUUCAAUUAGAAAAAAAAAAUUAUCAUCCAUGACGUUUUAUUAAAAAUAAAAUUACUUUAAUUAGGAUGAAAAACAAUCUUUAUCUCCCUUAUUUAUAAAUCCCCUAAUUAUUUCUUUUUUUGGUGCAUUGAAUGACAUAUUGAUUUGUUUGAGUGUUGGUACAUGGCCUUGCCUAUGAGAGGCUGAGAGAGGAAGGGGGAGGGCGGACAGAGAAGAAGGGAGCAGUGGAGCACAACUGAAAUAUUCACUUGCUGCAGGGCCGUUGUUUAUAUGUAAUUCGAGGAACAAAAUUUGAAGAAUUUUUCCUGUCUGAUGCGAAUUAAAAACAAAAACUAGAGGAAAGAAUCUACCAAGAAGGGAGAAAAACUCAAGAAAAGAAAUCAAGAUCUAUGAUUUAACAAGAAAAUAACGAAUUAAAAGAAGAAGAAGAAGCACUUACUUGGAGGUGGAAGGAAGAGCAGAGGCCAUGAAAAACUUGGGAGUUGUGAAGGUGGUCAUUGCUGGAAGACCAAAACAAGGGAGGUUCUUAUACAGACAAGUCAUGGGAUUACAUCUCAGACCCAUUGUUUGUAUCUUUUGCUUAUUUUGGGGUUCAAGACUUCCUUUGCUCUUUCUCUUUGUCAAGUUGUUUUUGAGCUUCGGCACCUUCACCUUUAUAGGCAGAGAUCUAUUUCGGGGGAAUUACAAAAUGGGCAAUGAAUUGAGAAUAUUUUGAGUUUGCUCCCAUACCCCCAAAAAUAUUUAGGGAUGAGGAAUUGAAAACACACAAUCAGUGUCGAUUCACUCUACCUUCAAUUCAUCUUUUCUAUUUUUCUUUCUCUAGAUUUACGAUUUGCUGGCAUAACGUACAAUCAAAAUUAUAAUUAAUUAAACUGUAACAUAAAAUAUAAUAUAAAUAGCUUAUAUAAGAGUAAAAUUAAAGCAUGCGUUUUGUUAUAUAUAAAAAUUACAUUUUUAUAUAUAUUUGUUUUCAAAAAUAUUAUUUCUUUGUUGAAGUAAUGAUUACUCGGUGAUUAGGAUCAUAGUUAUUGAAAAGCUUUUUUGAGACUCAGAAUUUUCAUGCACAUAAAUCUUGUACAAGUCAAUGAGCAAUAUUAUUAACCUUCUCUUAUUGUAACUUGUACGGCAUACAGCCUCUUUAAUUUUCUUUCCCACAUGUAAAAUAUAUUAGGAAUUUGUAUACAUAAUGAAAUAAUCCACAAUGCAAGCUAGAAGAUGAAACCGUGACACAUGUACUACGGGAUUGCAUGGUGGCGACAUCUUCACCGGUAAGAAUUAUUCCCCAACAAGAACACAACGUGUUCUUUUCACUACCAUUAUGAGAAUGGCUGCUAUGGAAUCUCCAAAACCAUCAGCUGCUACUCUUUGAGACUCCAUGGUCGGUUGUAUUCGGCUUGAUUUGUUGGUAUUUGUGGAAGUGGCGCAACAGCGCGGUGUUUGAUGCUACCUCUAUUCCAACUGCGAAUCGCCUAAGUUUGGUUAGAAGCUUGUCAACUGCUACAAAAACAGCCCUUGUAGAAUUUGAUGGGAUUUAGGUUAAUAAAGGAAGGAAAGAAGAAGUUUUGAUUGGAUGAAGGGCUCCACAGGUUGGCUGGGUAAGUUUAAAUACUGAUGGAGAGUACAAGAAAUCAAUAGAUGAAGCUUCUACAGGGGGUAUCUCGCAACUCUGAAGGAUCUUGGCAAGCUGGCUAUGUGGCAAAGCUAGGCAAAUGUUCAGCGUAUAGAGCUGAAUUGCGGGGAGUGCUUUAUGGACUUAGACUGGCUUGGGAUUCAGGGUUCAAGAAAGUGAUGGUUCAAGUUGACAACAAGAUGGUAGUUUAGGCGAUUUCGAUGGACAAGUUACUAUCAUGUUCGAAUACGGAUUUAAUACAUGCAAUUAAAGAUAUCUUGCAAAAGGAGUGGGAGGUCCAUCUUUUAUAUAUUUACUGUAAAGGUAAUCAGGGCCGGCCCUUGGGUGAAGCCACCCAAACAAGGACUUUAGGCUCUCAAUUUGGAAAGAUCUCAAUUUUAAAGAAGAUUUAUAAUUUUAUAAUAAUUAUAAUAUAAUUAAUUAUAUUAAAAAAAUAAAAAUAAAAAAUAUUCAUCAAAUUAUUUGUUUUUUUACUUUUUUAAUUAUGUGUCUAAUAAAUCUCAAUUUUUUAUUACUUCUUUAUUUCUAAAAUACUAUUAAUUCUCAACUAUAUUCUCUUAUUUUUAACAAACUAACAGUUACAUGUAUUUAAUCAUUUCCAACAGCUAUUUUUUUCUCACUUAUUUUUCUUAUUUCCAAUCAAUAAUAUCUACUUUUAAAAUUUUCCUUUCUUAUUUGCUCUUUCUUCCUUUAACUUCAAUUUUUUUCUAAAAAAUACACAAAAAGUCUGUUCUUUUAUUCUCUUCAUAAAGUUGUGAGCUUCAUUUGUGAUUUGCAAUAAGCAUUCAACAAUUAGGUACUAUUGUUCUAAUAUUUACAGAUUUUUUUACUUUAAUUUAGAUUUAUAUUAUAUUGUUAUAUUAUUUUUAUUUUAUGUGAUAGUUGAUUUAUUUGAAUUAAAAAUUUUGAUUGUUGAUUUUAUAUUAGCCAUUUAAAAAAUAUAAGAUAAUUAUAAUAGUUAAAUAUUUUUAAAAUAAUGUUAACAAUUUCAGUAAGUGUUGUUUCAGAAGAAAGAAGUUUUUCAAAACUAAAAUUAAUGAAAUCUUAUUUAAGAUCAACAGUGUCUCAAGAAAGAUUAAAUGGAUUGACUAUAUUAUCAAUUGAAAAAGAAAUAUUAGAAGAACUUGAUUAUAAAAGUUUAAUUAAAAAUUUUACAUCUCAAAAAGCUAGAAGAAUAAAAUUUUAAUAAUUUUUUUAAUUUUAAUAAAAAAAGCCUCAUUUGAAUAUUUCGCUUUAGGCUUUUGGACUUAUUGGGCAUCCCCUGAAGGUAAUAUGAUAGCCGAUUAUAUGGCUAACUAUGGUUUUGAUUUAAUCAAGACUUAUGGCUUUUUUGAACAUCCUCCAAUUGGAGCUAAAAAAUUGUUAAUGAAUGACAUGUUGGUAGUCUAUUUUCCAAGAAUGAUUCAAGUAUAAUAAAAUGAGUUUUUUGUUUAAAAAAAAUUAUCAUCUAUCAUAUCAUAAAUUUCGUUUUAUUAUUUGUUUAAAAAAUUUAAAUUUAUAGUUAUAGUAUUGGUUCGUGGUUACACAUCAAUUCGUAAGUUUCAAAACCUCUUUAUGAAAUCAAUCUAAACAUAUACACAUGUUGUGUAGAAUUUGAGAUUUUAUAAUUAUGAUGUUUUCGAGCAUUUAAGUUUAAUGAUAAGUAUAUGUACUUAAUUUUUUGUUUAAAAAGCUAAUAUUAGAUCUCUACUUUUUUUAACAAAAAAAAUUAUAAUUAUAUGUUAAAAAUAAUUUAUUGAUUUACUUUAACUACUAAAAUAUCCUCAUUUUGUUUUUUUUUUCUUAUUUUUUCAUUUCUUUUUCUUAAUGUAAACAUCCAUGAUUAAAUUCCUUGAGGUAAAAAUAGUUGAGAAAUUUAUAUAUAUAUAUAUAUAGUUGAGUAAUUAAUAUAUAUAUACACUAACCAUCCUCAACACCACCAAAUUGAAAGAGACAAACACAAGAACACUCUAAACCUUAAUUAACAUAUGAUAUAUUCCAAUAAGUAUAAGAUUAUAAAUAGUUAAGGAAAUUUAAUAAGGGAUCCGAUUAACGGAUGCUUCUAAGUAGCUUUUAAAGUUAGUUAAAUUCUAGGAGCAUUUUAAAAAAUAACCCUUAAAGAUAAAAUGUUUUUAAAAAUAACUUUUUUAUAAUUUUAACUAUAUUUAGCCAAGUUGGACAAAAUUACCCUUAAUGAAAUUACACGUUAUGUACAAAAAUAUGUGACAAGCGAUGGUUAGGUUGUUACACGCCAUGUACAAAAACAUGUGACAAGCCAUGGUUAGGUUGUUACACGUCAUGUACAUUAACAUGUGACAAGCCAUGAUUAAGUUGUUAUACGCAAUGUACAAAAACAUGUGAUAAGCUAUGGUUAGGUUAUUAUACCCCAUGUGCAAAAACAUAUGACAAGUCAUGGUUAGGUUAUUACACGCAAUGUUGAAAAAAAAUAUUAUUGUUACACGAUAUGGUUAGGUUGUUACACGCCAUGUUGAAAAAAAAUACUAUUGUUACACGUCAUGUAUAAAAACAUGUUAUACACCAUGGUUAAAAAAGGUUAUUACACGUCAUAUUGAAAAAAUAUUGUUGUUACACGGCAUAUUCAAAAACAUUUUGUUACACUUUAAUACCUAAAAUGUUAUUGUUACUUACGAACCAAAAUUUCAAAUCCUCUCAACUCUUUUCAUUUUUUUUAUUUUUUUGACGAUUUGGAAUCGAUUAAAGUGUUUCUAACAUGUUUUCAUAAAUAAAAAUAUAAAUUUUUUAAUCUAAAAUACCUACUUUGACUAAAAAUAAAAAAAAAUUCCUUUGAAAACCUAAGUUUAUAAAUUUCAAAUUUUUGAGUUUAUUGGUAUGUUUAGGUCCUGAAUUGAUUCAAUUAAAAGAUAUUUUAUAUAUCUGUGAUUAUUUCUAUUGUUUUAGUUUUAUUCAAAAUACCUAAAAAUCAAAUUUUCCAAAUAGCCAUCCAUCCAAGCACGUUAAAACCAUUGCUUGGUGUCUUGAAAGCGUAAGAAAAAGAAAUCUGAAAACGUAAGAGAGAGAAAUCAGAAGCAUAGCAAACGAAUGCCGAAGAGAGAAAUUGAUAAAAUUCGAAAGAGUGAGAUGGUGGGAGAGAGAAAUCUGAAGUACAAAUUGAGAGAAAUUGUGAUGAAUGAUUUAAUUUAUUUGAAAAAGUUUAAAAGGUAUUUUUGUCAAGUCAUGGUUGAAUAUGGCUAAAAACAGUUAAAUUUAUUUUGAUAGUUAUUUUUAAAAUGUCUUUAUAAAAAAAGGUUAUUCCUCACAAUUUCCUCUAAAUUCAUAUUAAAAAAAAUUUUCAUUUAUUACAUUGUUCUCAUCAAAUUUAAAAACAAAUAAUACGUUAAUUACAAAAUUUUUUUAUACAUUAUUAUUUUAACAAAAAAAAAGAAACAACAUGGAAUCUCCACAUGACAGUUACAUAAAUUAGACACUUAAAUAGGGUACAUGAACCUUUUCUCUAAAAAACAAUUAAUAGCACUCGUGAAUUUCAAUGAACCAUGUACUUAAAACUCCGUCUAAUGAUAAAUUUUUUUGUUAUUUAUUUUUUUACUAUUUUCCUUGUAUUUUUUUUAUAAUAAAGAAAUAUAAAAUACUACUCUCUUUGUUUCAUUUUGUUUAUUUUUUAUUGACUUUUUUUAUUAAAUGAAUUCAAUUUUGAUUUUUUAAAACAUUAUACAAAAUUAAAAUCUCAAAAAAUAUGUUUUGAAAAGUUUGGAAUUCAAGAUUUACAAACUUUAUUUUUAAAAAUCUUAUAAUUUUAUAAAAAAUAAUUAUCAAAAUUAAAUUUAUUUAAUAAAAAUAAAUAAAUAAACAAAAUGAGACAAAAAGAGUAAUAUCUACAGGAGAAAUUAACCUUAUCUCAAUAACUUUUAAAUUAAUAUUAUUACACUUAAAUGGAAAAUAACUUUAUAAAAGACCUUUAGACGACGUGACCAUUUAAAAGAGAGAGCUCUUGAAAUAAGCCAAGUUAGUUGCGCAAAAACAAAUAAUUACACAUUGGCCCUUUAGUAUUAAGAAAAUAUGUAAUAUGCUACCUGAAUUUUAAUUUCCUCAAUUGGGUUAGUCUAAUUAAUAAUAUCGUUAACACAAUCCACCUAUAUGGCAUUGAGCCAAUAGGAUCGCACCAUGUGUAUGCCAUGCGUGAAAUAUAAAUUAUUCAUUAUAUGUUUGAAUUUCUACUGCGGAGGAUCAUAAAAUUUGAGUUUUUUUCUUUUAAAAAAAUUAUGACAUGCUUGAAGUCUUGGUUUGACCCACUUUCAUUAACUUUAGAAUAAAUUAAUUAUUUAGUCAUUUAAAUUUUUAAAUUUUUUAUUUUUCGUUAUUUAGUUUUGGAAAUAAUNUUCUUUUAAAAAAUUAUGACAUGCUUGAAGUCUUGGUUUGACCCACUUUCAUUAACUUUAGAAUAAAUUAAUUAUUUAGUCAUUUAAAUUUUUAAAUUUUUUAUUUUUCGUUAUUUAGUUUUGGAAAUAAUGUAUUGUUCAUUGAUGUUAUAUAAAAUGGUGCAUUCUUAAUCAUCCAACUUUGAAACAAGAUUGACGAAUCUCAAUUUUGUAUUCACGUCAUAAUUUUUAUGUUACAAAAUGAUAAUUUAAAGUAAUGACAUGAACUUGACCACUUCACAUAAAUAUGAUGAAAUGAAAUGUCGAACAAAAACAAAAACACGUUAAUAGUGUGUAAGAGUUUGAGGACAAAAGAUGUAGUGUUUAUAUAACAUUAAUGAUUAAAAUAAAAAUAUUUUAAAAACUUAGAUGACUAAAUUAAUAAUUUUGUUAGACUUAUUAUUUCAAUUUUAUUCUAAAUUUUGAAAUGACAAAUAAGUGAACAAAAUUAUUUUUCAAAUGUUAAAAUAAGUUCAAAAAGUCUACAACUUCUAAUAAUGAAAAGGAACGUAAUUGCAAAGGUAAAGUCAUUAUAAUCAGUUAACAGGAUGUCAUUCCAUUAGCUCACGGAGGAAAUGUUAUUUUCGCUCAAUCGAGGAAAAGUUCAAUUUUUUUCCUGAAUUAUUUCUGACUUCUUUUUCUUUCUUCUUCCUUUUUCUUUCUUCUUCUCUUACCUUUCUUUAAGUCAACGUUUGCCAGAAAAGAUGGGUGCAAGGAGGACGAUGAGAAAAAAAAAAAUAAAAGGUAACAUCUUGAGUGAUUAUAUCUUAACCAAGUUAGAAGGUAAUUUGAGUAGGUUAAAUAAAAGAUAGAGUGGUUGUAUGUGAUCCAUAAAAGGUAUUGCAUUAUAAGAUUAUGUUUGUACUAAAUUUCAUUUCAAUAGUGGAUUUUAAAAUUCGUUAGUGAAUCAAAAGGAAAGGACAAAGGUAGUAAUUUUAUUUUAUAGAAUUAUUUUAAUCUAAUUUGUUCUUAAAUGUUGCUAGGUUCUUAAUUUUUAAUUAAAAUUUAGUUAUUUUUAAUUGUUUUUACAAUUAGUUUAUUUUUAUUAAGUUAUUUUAAUUUUAUGUUUAUUUACUUUAAUUCGACUUUUAUUUAUUAGUUUUUAUGCAUUUGUAGGAUUUAAGGAAAUAAGGCUUAAUUUUGGAAAAUAAGGUGUUUGAAAGACCAAAAUUUUGUUUGCAUAUGCUUCAAUAUUUUGCCCAUAACUUUUACUACAAAAUUCCAAAUGAUACGGAUUCUUGAGCCAUUGGAAAGCUAAGAAAUAGAGCUACAACUUUCAUAUAUCACUUUGCCCAGUUCUACUUCGAAGACAGAGAAAAUUGCAUCGGAAGGUGACUGGACAUAAUGCUGCAGGAAUGGUAAUUUUGAAAAAUGAUAUUUGAUAUUUGAGCCUCACCCAAUUAAAAUCAGUAGGUUAACUUAGGAGAUUUUAAGAGAAGAAAACUCCAGAGUUAUACGCUGGCAUUGAUAUUUGAAGAUGCCAUUAGACCCAACACAGAGCUAGUUACCAACUACAAUGCUGAUUUGCUUGGAAGAUAAUAGCUUACCAAGUAAGGGUCAUGGAAUCCUUUCGACUUCUGCUGCUUUCCUAUAUCUUCACAUUUUGUGCCAUUAUUUUUAUAAUUAUAAGAUUAGAUGGGGUAGAAUAUAUUGGGGUAUGUACGAUGCAUGCAUGAAUUCCUUUAGAUAUCUGGGUAUGGGGCCGAGAUACUGUUACUGAGGGGAAGCAAUGGUCAAUUUUCUUAGAACUCUCGCCUCGCCAUUUUCAGACUUGAGAUUUGCAUUUUGCUCCCCUUGAGUCUGCUUAUAUAUCUACACUUGAUAAUUUUGGAUGAAACACAAUAACAUGAUACGAAAAGAUACAGAAUUAAAUAGAUUUGAGUUUAAUUUUAUCGUGUUUUAUGUCUUAACCGUGUCAAACAAAAUUAAUAUAUUUAAACACACUUAAUUAAUCAUAUGAAUCGUAUUUAAAAGUGUAUAAGUAACACGUUUAAUUUUAAUGAUAGAUUUUAUUAAUAUGAUGAUGAAUUUUAUGUAUGUUAUUUAUAUUAAAUUUUAUUAUAUUUAAUGUUAUUAUUAUUUUGUUAUAAUUAUUUUAAUAAUAUUGAAUUUAAAUUUGAAUAAUAAAAUUAUAUUUAAUAGUAAAUAUAUUAAGUUAAUCCCGUUAAAUGUGUUGGAAAAAAAUUAUGUUAAUCGUUUAAUCGUAUUUAUUAGUCGUAUUGUGUUGUAUAAAAAAUCUUAAUAUGUUUAAUAAAUAUGUUGAUCGUGUCAUGUCUUGUUACACGAUUAGUAAAUAUAUUUGUAUACGUGUUUUAGAUGCUAAUAUAAAUAAUUAUUCGGAUCAUGUUCAUAUUUAAUCUUACCAUAUUUCAUGUUGACGCAAUUAAGAUAUAAAAAUACGAAUUAAUGCCAAGUCUAUAAUAUAUAUAUAUAUAUGUUUUCAAAACGUUUAAUUCUACUAAUCCAUCUUUUGGCUGAGUGAACUGGACUUUCACAAACAAGUAUGUCUAUAAAAUUAGGGUUGACUGUUUCUACAAAUUAAUAUUCUAAUUCUGGUAUUAAAGUCUUGCCUACCAUGUUAGUUAUUGUGCAAUAUAAUAAUGUCUCAUAUAUUUACUAUGCAAUCUUAGCUUCACCUUUUCUAAGCACUUGAUGCAAUUCUUCCUCUUUUAGGCUUGUAUGAAGAUUCUAAAGGCGGGCAAAAUUUAGAUGCAAUAUCUUGUAUGUGAAGUUUAUCAUAAUCUCGAUCGAAAAUAAAACUAAAACCCGAAAAAUAUUUGCAAUUUUAAUAGAUUUAUUUCUUGUACGCAUCAUGAGCUAGAAAUAGUACGCAUAUAUAAUUUAUUGUAUUGUAUUUAUUAUAAAUCCCAUUCGAGUAAUGUUAAGACAUACAAAUGGAUCUAUUCUUUGUGGGUUGACCAGUUCAUUCUAUUGCUCUGUUUUUCAUUGAAUGAGAAGACACUUGCAGGGAGAGGAAAAUUCAUAGUAGUUCCUUUAUAACAUCUUAAACUUCUCUGUCAAAAAUCCAACUGAAUGGAAUCCUUGGUGCGUGCUUGGCCCUUCCUUGAGCUCUCUCCUCCAGCCUUCUAAUUCCUGGAGGAAGUCCACACACAUAGUCUUGAGCUUGACGCCCAUCCGCUGAAAGUCCAGUUAGUUCCUUCACCUUCCAACUCUCCACCAGGAACUCCAGAAUAUCAGCAUAGUCCUUGGCAGUGUAAACCCCAAUUCUUUGCGCAACAGCAGAGAAGUGGUCGAAAAGGUUGUCAUCUCGGCCAUCAUACAUCAAGUGGCCUGGCAUGGAGAUUUUCUUCCUCAUCAUGUCAGCGAAGGCCAGCAAAGUACCGUCAGGAUCAAUCUCAAAGAGCUUUUCGACAACUUUAGUAUAGGCUGUCCCGUGGCGCUUUUCAUCUGAGGCAAUGCUACCACAUAUUUGAGCCAAG